rnacentral:rRNA from 1 species
CAGCAGCCGCGGUAAUACGGAGGGUGCAAGCGUUAAUCGGAAUUACUGGGCGUAAAGCGCACGCAGGCGGUUUGUUAAGUCAGAUGUGAAAUCCCCGAGCUUAACUUGGGAACUGCAUUUGAAACUGGCAAGCUAGAGUCUUGUAGAGGGGGGUAGAAUUCCAGGUGUAGCGGUGAAAUGCGUAGAGAUCUGGAGGAAUACCGGUGGCGAAGGCGGCCCCCUGGACAAAGACUGACGCUCAGGUGUGAAAGCGUGGGGAGCAAACAGGAUUAGAUACCCCUGUAGUCCCUGUCUCUUAUAC